rnacentral:rRNA from 1 species
UACGUAGGGGGCAAGCGUUGUCCGGAAUUAUUGGGCGUAAAGAGCGCGUAGGCGGCCCCGUAAGUCCGCUGUGAAAGUCAAAGGCUCAACCUUUGAAAGCCGGUGGAUACUGUGGGGCUAGAGUCCGGAAGAGGCGAGUGGAAUUCCUGGUGUAGCGGUGGAAUGCGCAGAUAUCAGGAAGAACACCCGUGGCGAAGGCGGCUCUCUGGGACGGUACUGACGCUAAGGCGCGAAAGCGUGGGGAGCGAACAGG